UAAUUAUGCUAGGUCUAAAAUGACUGUUUUAUAAGACAAUCUUCAGAGAGUGGACUACACAUGAUUUAAUGGAGAUGCCAGUAAUCCUGACCCUUUCUGCUCUCCUGACCUGCCUGAUCCAUCCUGAUGCCCUACCUCUGGAUGGAGCUCUCAUCAACUGGAGGCUACAUCCUAGAGAUUCCUGAGGACUGUGCUGCUUGAAGUACCAUGGAAAUGGUUUUGGACCUCAAUUCCACAUGGACGUUCUCGCUGUUGUUGCUGGGACUACGGUUGCUGCAAUGGCCUUGGGACUGCAGUUACCACAUGCAGUUUUACACUCAGAUGAGGACGGUUCCCUUCUGAGUCUGGUUCCUCUCAAGGUUUCUUCCUCAUAUCAUCUUGGUGAGAUUUUCCUCACCACCGUCGUCAACGGCUCGCUCGUUACGGAUAAAUUCACACGCUUAAAAUCUCUAUCCUGUGUUUAUAUGUUUCUGUAAAGCUGCUUUGAGACACAAUGUCCGUUGAUAAAAGCAC
ensembl:lncRNA